CCACAGUCCCCUGGAUAGUCAGCUCUUCCUUCUCCGUCUGCUUUCUCCAACCUGGGUGAAAUUAACCGUUACUAAGUACAGGCCAGGAGCAAGUCAUUAACUGCUUCUUAAGUGGAUAGAAGUUGUUCACAGAAAAGAAUAUGAGUUCACUCUGCCACCACCACCUGCUGCCAUGAGCCCAAAGAAGAGGGAGGAGAGAGUUUUCUGGAGCCCAGAAGACAGCUAGCUGCCUCGAAAGGUGAAAGGGCACAGCCAGACUGCAGCAUCCUACAGGGAGGAAUC